rnacentral:lncRNA from 1 species
CCGACCAUCCCUCUGGUCUUUUGCCUCUUCUCUCCCAUUUUCGCUGGAACAGAAACUGAUUCUGGGAUCUUGAAAGCGAGACAAUCAUUCCCUGCCUUCUCAGUGCUGAAGCCAGCUUGAUGGUGGAUGCGUCCCGUAUGAAUGAAGUGCAGUCUUUGAAGAGGGAUUGUGAGUUAUGCACAUUGCAGCAGUAGGUGGUCUAUCGAUUGAUGCACAUGUUGCACAUAAGGGGCAGCUGCUUCUGACAUUUAUCCCUCUCCUGAUUAAAAUGUCAGUCGUGAGAACCCUAUUAUUAUAGCAUAUAGCCAACUGAAGAUUUUGACCUUCUCUGGAAUCGGUGAUUUCCAAAUGAUGCUUCCGAGCAAGGAUUUGAUUCCACCAUGCUUGAGGAAGUUGUAAUAUUGUUCAACUCGGUAAGUCCUUUGUAUUAAUCCACUUCCAUAAUUGUUUGUCAUUCUCAUUUGAUGAUUGAACUUGUCUCCGAAUGAAAUCCAGCAGUUGCUUCAUAUGUCGAGGGAGUUUGGAAGUUUAGCAUCCAGUUUCUCGAUUCCACGAAGUUGGCUAUGUUAAUGUCUUGGUUCUUUGCAAAAAGGAGUAGAUUACCGGUCCUGUGUUGAGAGAUUGCUUCUCAUAUCAAGGAUCUUUCCGACAGGAAGUAAGUUCGCCAUUAUAUACCUCUGGUUUUGUGAACAUUCGGAAUAGUUCAGACGGCUGAAGUUUGCUUUUGCAAAAUGAGGAGGCAAUCAUUGUGAGGUAGUUCGGAGGUUGUAGAGGAGCUCUGUUGCCGCAAUAUAUUUGUUGAAUCGAUCUCCACCAUGGCCUGUUUGGCUCAACGAAACAUUUUUCGACCACCAUUUUAGAAGGCAAACUUUGGUUCUCGAAACUUUGAGAUCCAUGUUACGCUCUUGCUCGGUUCAAGAGGAGUGAUGCAGAAGAAUAUCUAGAUAUAUUGUAUGGAAAAUUUGGAAGUUUGCAGAAGAUCAAUGUGUCGUCAGCAUAUUUUGUAGGUACUGUAUGUUUCUUGUUAUUUGAAAAGGUCUUACUCCUGAGAUCAGUCCUUCAGAGGAGGCGAGUUUGAAUGUCCGCCACAAGAAUAAAUAAACGAGGACAUAGAGAGUUACUCUGCUUGAGCUCACACCCCA